rnacentral:siRNA from 1 species
CAGUGGAUUGGGUUCCAUGGAA